GGUGGCGUAGCUCAGUUGGAUAGAGCAACAGCCUUCUAAGCUGUGGGUCGUAGGUUCGAAUCCUACCGCCAUCACCA
rnacentral:tRNA from 1 species